rfam:Gasterosteus aculeatus cont1.006488, whole genome shotgun sequence.
CAUAUCGAUACUUGUAAGUCGCUUUGGAUAAAAGCGUCAGCUAAAUGACGUAAU